rfam:Echinostoma caproni strain Egypt genome assembly, scaffold: ECPE_scaffold0019651
GCACCGCUGGCGAGUCCCAAACAGGACGAAACAACUGUCCAGUGC